rnacentral:other from 1 species
GAUGCCCUGCGGUGUUGGUGAGGCCCGCAGCGUUUUGUUCCAACACUUAUUUGAUUGGGAGUCCGGACGUCACCGGGGAAGUAGCAAAUGCCCGUCUCAGAGCGGGACUUGUGAAGUUACUGGGCAGGACACCCACCUGCGCGAGCAGGAUCAAAACCUUGGGUUGCACGGCAAUUGCGGGGCGUCG